CCUCUUCUUCCACUGUUCCACCCCCCCCCCCUUCCGUUUCUCUCACUCUCUCUGUCAAUGCUGCCAUCGCUGCAAAUCCCAUGGCUACCCUCUGCCCUUUCUCUUCUCUCUCCUGGGCUUCGCGUCACCUCCUCCCCUUCUCUUCCUCCCCCAAAUUAGAAGGAUUCCAUCUCCAAUGGAGAUCACGCCCGAUUCCAGCUCCAAGAGAUCUCACGCUAGCUUGCUCCGGAGAGAAAUCCAGCAAGAAGGCAAGGGCGUCGAGGGCUUUGAAGAGCAAUGAGGAGAUCUGCGGUGAGCUUCGCGAGUUUAUGUCGACGAUGGGGCUUCCAGAGGAUUGCGUGCCUUCGACGAAGGAGCUUUCCAAGCACGGGAGGAAAGACCUUGCAAAUAUUGUUCGGCGGAGAGGAUACAAGGCAAUUAAAGAGCUUCUGAUAAAUUCCAGUAAAAGCAAUAGCCCUUUGGAGGAAAUUCCUGAUGGAAAUCAACAUCAUACUAAUGCUUCCAAAGAUGAAACCGAAGAAGGCCAAGAGAGGAAGAUAUAUGUGUCUCUUGAAUGCAUCUCCUCAUCAAGUGACUCUAGUCUAAAGGAUGAGUACAUUGUUAACUCAAAUGGUGCAAGGUUGACCCCCGUCGAUUCCGAAAUUUACGGACCUUCAGAAUCUUCAGUGGAGUCUUUUCAUCUCAAGGCAGCAAAUUUUAUUAAAACUGGGGAGUUGGAUACACUGGAAGAUUAUCUUGAAGCAGAAAAUUCCGAUACACAAUAUAGCCCGGAGUUUGGUUCUUGCAUUCUGAAUUCCAGUGGUCCUGACACAGAUUCUUUGGCCUCUCAACAAGAAGCUCCAUAUAAAGAACAACCCCUAAAAAGGGACGAUCAUUCAUCAGGUGAAUGGACCAAUCUUGAUGAGGAUUUUUCUUCUGAGGCUAAUGAAAGUGAUGACCAGACUGAGAUCAAUCAUCUAAAAGCCUUGCUGCAUCAAAAGGAGAUGGAACUUUUCCAAUUAAGGCUUCAGAUUGAAGAAGAAAAGGUACUGAAUCUUUCAUGCUUUGGCAUCAUCCAGAUUGAAGAAGAAAAGCUUGUGUUAUUCAAUUUGCAAGCUAAGACCAAUUCUGAGAUUGGUGAUGUACAGAGAAAUAUAGCAGAGAAAGAUGUGGAACUUCAUCUGACUCAAGAAAAGCUUCAUGGAUUACAAGAGGUCCAUAUCGACUAUUGGGCAAAUGCUGAUAUUGUGGAAGUUGCUGGUAACUUCAAUGGUUGGCUUCAUCGCAUAAAAAUGGAUCGAAAUCCUUCAUCUGAACCUAUAGAACGACCUGGUGCCAGGCGAAUAGGAUCAGUAGGGUGAAGGUUGGUCCAGGCUUGAAGUUCGUGCUAGCAAGCUUGGCGAUUUUGUAGAAGGAUUUUAGUAUUUUAAAUUGACUAUAAAUUUGUAGUCAAUGAUUUUCUAAGUAUUGAGGAUUAUGGGUUUGGUAUUUAUGUUUGGAUUUAGAUGCUCCAAACUAGUAUUGGUUGCAUUUAAUGGAUAAUGAAAUUGGAUUCCUAUUUAUUCUAUUAUAUUUGAGAUGAAUUUGGAAGAUAAAUAUAAUAUUGGCUUCGUAUUAUCGUGGGUUGUACCCUUCGGUAGCACGACCAUGUCAUGCUCCGGAUCUGGGGCGUGACAACUUGAAUUUCAUGUGAAACAAAGGCUAGUGCUUUUAGAGUUGGGUGAUGCUACUACGAGUGACUUUGGUGAUAAUAGGCCUGAAACCGACCUAAAAUUGCAAAAACAGUUCUUUUGUGAUUAAACUAAUUAUGGUGGUAGAACAUGAAGUUUGGAAUUUUCAAUAGCUUCCUAGCAAUAGAGCUGUAAAUCUCUUAUUGCAAUCUGACUUCUUGUUAGCAGCCUUGACCAGCAGUGCUUGCUCUUAAUGUUUGUCUAUCCAUAAAAAUGCUAUCCAUCAUUGAAACACCAUUAAUUUGGUUAGUAAAGAUCCAAUAUUGUCCUGCACCCCAAGAGUUCCAAUUUGCUUCUUGCUGUUACUCCAUUGAUACCCUGCUUAAGAAUAAGGUGACGAAUCAAGUAUCUAGUUUUCCAUAAUGAUUGACUGAAUAUAUAGUUUUUACUUUAAAUUAUGCUAUAUUUCUAAGGUUAUGUAGUUUCUGAUCACACUACCCAGAAGAUAUUUGAGAGAAGAUUACAUUUCAGUUACCUAGCUUAUUAUCAAUCAGCAUCCAUAUGUAUCUUUAGACCAUUCAUUUUUUACUUCGUGAAAAAAAUAUGUCCAUUCAGCCUUAAAAAAACAUUUAACCUGGUAUGAUGAUUCAGCAGUACAUGCAUAUACAAAACAUAAUCCAGGUCAGAUCACCCAUGAAAAGCUUAUUAUCAAACCUUAGCUUGUGUUUGGUGCCAAUUGGACUGCUCAGUUUUUGCCUUUCUUCCUUCUAUUAUUAGAUAAGGAAAAAUUGUAGCAUGAGGUACUCUGGAUGUUAAUAUCUGUGAAAACAUAGAAGCUCUUCACCAUUGGUUGAAGCCAAAAUUUGGAGGGUUCUGUCAAUCAAAGUGGAAUUUGGAACAUAUCACAGGUCUGUAAUUGCAGAAUUUACGGCAAUGACUAGCUCACAGCUUCCAGGCUGACAGGAAGCAAAUUAAUUUUAAGUCGUUCCUCAAAAUUCAACAAAACCAUUUUUGCCCUUAAAUUUAUGAUCUUCCUUCAAUUACUUCAUGCUGUUUUGAUCCAAUAGCUCUUUAUGCUCUCUUAAAGGAGCUACAUGAGUACUGCCUAGCUCUUUCUGAUAAUAUACCAUGCAGGAAACCAUUACUCUGGUCAACAGUGUUAUGGCUUUAUCCUGGAGUUUAUGAGAUAAAAUUUAUUGUUGAUGGUCAGUGGAGAUUUGAUUCGCAACGAGAGACCAUUAACAGUGGCAGCAUAACCAACAAUGUUCUAAGGGUAGACAGAUAGGGUGGACCUUGCAUUUCACAGUUGUUACACUGAGGUUGCAACUUUCCAUAUUCUUCCUUUUCUCCUGUAGCUGAAGCUCAAAUCUUAAAUGAAGAUAGUCCGAUAGGGCUCGAUUGAUCUGUUGUAAUUCAAAAGCAGGUUUUUGUGCCAUGUGUGGAUCAACAAGCCCCACAGAUCAGAGGUUGAGCUAUCGAUGGAAUUUCUGGUUCUAGGAAAAAUUUCAGCUCUCAAUUACUUUUUCUUUUUUGCAAUGCCCGUACAUGUAAAGGUAAAAGGAGCUAUUCCUCAUCUUUGAAGAUUGAAAAGCUUUUUUGGAAAUAUAUGGGUAAUUUUCUUUUAGAUGUAAAAUUUUUGAGAUUCUGCUGUCAAGUGAUUACAAUUCCUAGGUAUUCUUCAAUGUAUAUAAUCUUCGUCCAUA